rnacentral:rRNA from 1 species
UAACGCGAAGAACCUUACCUGGGUUUGACAUAUGCCGGAAAGCUCUAGAGAUAGAGCCCCUUUUAGUCGGUAUACAGGUGGUGCAUGGCUGUCGUCAGCUCGUGUCGUGAGAUGUUGGGUUAAGUCCCGCAACGAGCGCAACCCUCGUCCUAUGUUGCCAGCACGUAAUGGUGGGGACUCAUAAGAGACUGCCGGGGUCAACUCGGAGGAAGGUGGGGAUGACGUCAAGUCAUCAUGCCCCUUAUGUCCAGGGCUUCACGCAUGCUACAAUGGCCGGUACAAAGGGCUGCGAUACCGCAAGGUGGAGCGAAUCCCAAAAAGCCGGUCUCAGUUCGGAUUGGGGUCUGCAACUCGACCCCAUGAAGUCGGAGUCGCUAGUAAUCGCAGAUCAGCAACGCUGCGGUGAAUACGUUCCCGGGUCUUGUACAC